rnacentral:rRNA from 1 species
GACGUAGGGGACGAGCGUUGUCCGGAUUUAUUGGGCGUAAAGCGUGCGUAGGCGGCUGCGCAAGUCGGUUGUGAAACCCCGGGGCUCAACCCCGGAACUGCAUCCGAUACUGCGUGGCUAGAGGUAGGUAGGGGAGAUCGGAAUUCCUGGUGUAGCGGUGAAAUGCGCAGAUAUCAGGAGGAACACCGGUGGCGAAGGCGGAUCUCUGGGCCUUACCUGACGCUCAGGCACGAAAGCUAGGGGAGCGAACAGG